UCGCUUCAGCAGCGUAUAUACUAAAAUUGGAACAGUACAGAGAAGAUUAGCAUGGCCCCUGUGCAAGGAUAACAUGCAAAUUUGUGAAGCAUUCCAUAUUUUA